rnacentral:lncRNA from 1 species
CCAGUUCCAUCUGGCUUGACGGAUGAAGAAUGACAGCUGAGGCUCACAAGAACAGAAAUACAUGCUCUGCAUCCACCUCUCAACAGUACCGACCUUCCAGCGGACCCAUAUUUGUGAUGCAAUGAUAUGUCAUCCAGUUCCAUCCGGUUUGGCGCAUUAUGAAUGACCAGAAUAAUACUGUAUCAGGUUAUAGCACAGUUCAGCAGCUAGUUGCUUCACAGCAAUACUGAAAUAAAGGGAAGAACACUAAUAGACAAGCAAGGUACAGCAGGCAUAAAUCAAUGUAGAUGACAGAUACAACAUACCGAAGAAAGAUAUGUACCAUGUUUCUUGUGCUUGCACAUUAGAAUAUAGAUUAUUGUGUAGAAAGAAUGGAUGGUCAUGGAGAGUAAAGAAUUCUCUUUGCAUAAGGGCAAGGACUGAUGAAGCACAUAUCAGUUUACGCAGAUUGCAGCAUUUCACCAAAAGCUGAUAUGAAACAGAUAGCCCAAAGCAUUGAUUCAAGUGGAAAUAAAAAAUUCCUGGGAGUGAACAUCAAUAGUACAGGAGAAACACAAACAGAUAAGUCCAUAUGCCUCAGU